UAGUCCACGCCGUAAACGAUGAUUACUCGGUGCUGGCGAUAUACUGUCAGUGCCUAAACGAAAGUGAUAAGUAAUCCACCUGGGGAGUACGAUCGCAAGGUUGAAACUCAAAGGAAUUGACGGGGGCCCGCACAAGCGGUGGAGCAUGUGGUUUAAUUCGAUGAUACGCGAGGAACCUUACCUGGGCUUAAAUGCAUAAUGACUGACUGGGAAACCAGUCGUUCUUCGGACAGAAUGCAAGGUGCUGCAUGGCUGUCGUCAGCUCGUGCUGUGAGGUGUCGGGUUAAGUCCCAUAACGAGCGCAACCCCUAUUUCUAGUUGCCAGCACAUAAUGGUGGGGACUCUAGAGAGACUGCCGGCGUAAGCCGCGAGGAAGGUGGGGAUGACGUCAAAUCAUCAUGGCCUUUAUGCCUAGGGCUACACACGUGCUACAAUGGCGAAUACAAAGGGUAGCGAAGCCGCGAGGUGGAGCCAAUCCCAGAAAGUUCGUCCCAGUUCGGAUU
rnacentral:rRNA from 1 species